rnacentral:tRNA from 1 species
GCCUCGGUAGUGUAAUGGAUCAGCACGGCAGACCGGAUAUCUGUAAGUGCAGGUUCGAGACCCGCCUGAUGUU